rnacentral:tRNA from 1 species
UAGUAAUAAAUCUUAAUUAAACUUUAACUUUAAUUAAUCUUUA